CAAAGGUUUGGGCUGCCAACUAUGAUCUUCAACAUGAUUUGAUCGUUAUACCCUUUUCACAUGUUCAUGCUAGAUACUCCAAGCUAGGAAUGUUAAAAUGGGUUCAACUUAACAUAAUUAAUCCUAACCAUGUAUCAAAAUCUUUUACCAUAACUCUAAUUUUUGAGAUAUGGUUAAAACAAGGUUGAACAAACAUGAAUAUAUAAGGUUUAAGUUUUUAGCCCGUUGGUUUGCUCCACACCAUUUUUAUACAAUAUUUAAAUAUAUAUUCAAAUUUAUUCAAUUAUGCAAAAUUGGAAAAUCAAAAUUUUACAUUAAAAUCACAAAAUCUUGUUUUUUGCCACAAUCCCAAGAUGAAAUCUUCUGUUUAAAUUGAAAAUCAAGUUUUUUCACCAAAAUCAAAAAUCGAGUUUUUUCACCAAAAUCAAAAAAUCAAGUUUUCCCUCCAAACCAGAAAAUCAAGAUUUCCCAAUAAAUCACAAAAUUAUAUUUUACGCCAAAACCAAAAAAUGAGUUCUCCACUAAAACCGAAAAAAUUAAAUUUUCCCGCCAAACCUAAAAAUUAAGUUUUCCCACCAAACCGCAAAAUCAAGUUUUCCCAUCAAAAACACAAAAUCGAUUUUCCCCACCAAAAUCAAAAGUUUCCGCCUAACCGAAAAUCAAGUUUUCCCGUCUAAC
rnacentral:lncRNA from 1 species